rnacentral:rRNA from 1 species
AGAGUUUGAUCCUGGCUCAGAGCGAACGCUGGCGGCGUGCCUAACACAUGCAAGUCGAACGCUGAACUCCCUGUAGCAAUACAGGGAGCUAGGCGUGGCGAACGGGUGGGUAACGCGUGGACAACCUGCCCGCGAGUGGGGGAUAACUCCGGGAAACUGGAGCUAAUACCGCAUAACGUCCCGAGGUCGUCGGAUCUUGGGAUCAAACCCGCAAGGGGCUCACGGAGGGGUCCGCGUCCGAUCAGCUAGUUGGUGAGGUAACGGCUCACCAAGGCGGAGACCGGUAGCCGAUCUGAGAGGAUGGUCGGCCACACUGGGACUGAGACACGGCCCAGACUCCUACGGGAGGCAGCAGUGGGGAAUAUUGCGCAAUGGGGGAAACCCUGACGCAGCGACGCCGCGUGGAGGACGAAGCCCUUCGGGGUGUAAACUCCUUUCGACGGGGACGAAACGCCCGAGCAAUCGGGUUUGACGGUACCCGUAGAAGAAGCCCCGGCUAACUACGUGCCAGCAGCCGCGGUAAUACGUAGGGGGCGAGCGUUGCUCGGAAUUACUGGGCGUAAAGGGUUCGUAGGCGGUCGGGCCAGUCGGCGGUGAAAUCUCCCGGCUUAACUGGGAGGGGUCCGCCGAGACUACCUGACUGGAGGGCCGGAGAGGCGAGUGGAAUUACCGGUGUAGCGGUGAAAUGCGUAGAGAUCGGUAGGAACACCGGAGGCGAAGGCGGCUCGCUGGACGGCACCUGACGCUGAGGAACGAAAGCUGGGGGAGCAAACAGGAUUAGAUACCCUGGUAGUCCCAGCUGUAAACGAUGGUCACCAGAUGUGCCCGACGUCCGUUGGGCGUAUCGCAGCUAACGCACUAAGUGACCCGCCUGGGGAGUACGGUCGCAAGACUGAAACUCAAAGGAAUUGACGGGGGCCCGCACAAGCGGUGGAGCAUGUGGUUCAAUUCGACGCAACGCGAAGAACCUUACCCGGGCUUGAACUGCACGGGACCAGCCGGUGAAAGCCGGCCUUCCCGCAAGGGACUCGUGUAGAGGUGCUGCAUGGCUGUCGUCAGCUCGUGUCGUGAGAUGUUGGGUUAAGUCCCGCAACGAGCGCAACCCUUGCUCUUAGUUGCCACUCCCGAUUCGUCGGGACGCUCUCUAAGAGGACUGCCCGUGAUAAACGGGAGGAAGGUGGGGAUGACGUCAAGUCAGCAUGGCCUUUAUGUCCGGGGCCACACACGUGCUACAAUGCGCGCCACAGAGGGUCUGCCAACCCGCAAGGGGGAGCUAAUCCCAGAAAAGCGCGCUCAGUUCGGAUUGAGGUCUGCAACUCGACCUCAUGAAGCUGGAAUCGCUAGUAAUGGCGCAUCAGCACGGCGCCGUGAAUACGUUCCCGGGCCUUGUACACACCGCCCGUCACAUCACGAAAGGGGGCUGCACUAGAAGUCGCCGGCCUAACCGCAAGGAAGCCGGCGCCCACCGUGUGGUCUCUGAUUGGGGUGAAGUCGUAACAAGGUAACC